UACGAAGGGGGCUAGCGUUGCUCGGAAUGACUGGGCGUAAAGGGCGCGUAGGCGGUUUGCACAGUCAGGCGUGAAAUUCCUGGGCUUAACCUGGGGGCUGCGCUUGAUACGUGUGGACUGGAGUGCGGAAGAGGGUCGUGGAGUUCCCAGUGUAGAGGUGAAAUUCGUAGAUAUUGGGAAGAACACCGGUGGCGAAGGCGGCAUCCUGGACCGGCAUUGACGCUGAGGAGCGAAAGCUAGGGGAGCAAACGGG
rnacentral:rRNA from 1 species